ACAAAUGAUGAAUGACUUCCACAAGUAGUCUUUACAAUCCGACGAUGGUUUGAAUAAAACAUGUGUCAAUGGAUUAAAUACAUGCAUCACCAUCUGAUU